UUGAACGCUGGCGGCAUGCCUUACACAUGCAAGUCGAACGGCAGCACGGGUGCUUGCACCUGGUGGCGAGUGGCGAACGGGUGAGUAAUACAUCGGAACAUGUCCUGUAGUGGGGGAUAGCCCGGCGAAAGCCGGAUUAAUACCGCAUACGAUCUACGGAUGAAAGCGGGGGACCUUCGGGCCUCGCGCUAUAGGGUUGGCCGAUGGCUGAUUAGCUAGUUGGUGGGGUAAAGGCCUACCAAGGCGACGAUCAGUAGCUGGUCUGAGAGGACGACCAGCCACACUGGGACUGAGACACGGCCCAGACUCCUACGGGAGGCAGCAGUGGGGAAUUUUGGACAAUGGGCGAAAGCCUGAUCCAGCAAUGCCGCGUGUGUGAAGAAGGCCUUCGGGUUGUAAAGCACUUUUGUCCGGAAAGAAAUCCUUGGCUCUAAUACAGUCGGGGGAUGACGGUACCGGAAGAAUAAGCACCGGCUAACUACGUGCCAGCAGCCGCGGUAAUACGUAGGGUGCGAGCGUUAAUCGGAAUUACUGGGCGUAAAGCGUGCGCAGGCGGUUUGCUAAGACCGAUGUGAAAUCCCCGGGCUCAACCUGGGAACUGCAUUGGUGACUGGCAGGCUAGAGUAUGGCAGAGGGGGGUAGAAUUCCACGUGUAGCAGUGAAAUGCGUAGAGAUGUGGAGGAAUACCGAUGGCGAAGGCAGCCCCCUGGGCCAAUACUGACGCUCAUGCACGAAAGCGUGGGGAGCAAACAGGAUUAGAUACCCUGGUAGUCCACGCCCUAAACGAUGUCAACUAGUUGUUGGGGAUUCAUUUCCUUAGUAACGUAGCUAACGCGUGAAGUUGACCGCCUGGGGAGUACGGUCGCAAGAUUAAAACUCAAAGGAAUUGACGGGGACCCGCACAAGCGGUGGAUGAUGUGGAUUAAUUCGAUGCAACGCGAAAAACCUUACCUACCCUUGACAUGGUCGGAAUCCCGCUGAGAGGUGGGAGUGCUCGAAAGAGAACCGGCGCACAGGUGCUGCAUGGCUGUCGUCAGCCCGUGUCGUGAGAUGUUGGGUUAAGUCCCGCAACGAGCGCAACCCUUGUCCUUAGUUGCUACGCAAGAGCACUCUAAGGAGACUGCCGGUGACAAACCGGAGGAAGGUGGGGAUGACGUCAAGUCCUCAUGGCCCUUAUGGGUAGGGCUUCACACGUCAUACAAUGGUCGGAACAGAGGGUUGCCAACCCGCGAGGGGGAGCUAAUCCCAGAAAACCGAUCGUAGUCCGGAUUGCACUCUGCAACUCGAGUGCAUGAAGCUGGAAUCGCUAGUAAUCGCGGAUCAGCAUGCCGCGGUGAAUACGUUCCCGGGUCUUGUACUCACCGCCC
rnacentral:rRNA from 1 species